AAAGGUGAUAUCAUAGUUUUGAUAUAUAAAAGGGAAUCCGGUGAGAAUCCGGAACGAUACCGUCACUGUGUAAGGGAGCUGCUCUUAAAGACCACUGGGAAACCGGGAAGGAAGAGCGGCGAUGAACAAAGUCAGGAGACCUGCCUUGGCGU
rnacentral:ncRNA from 1 species